UACAUCGGUGACAGGUGGUGCAUGGUUGUCGUCAGCUCGUGUCGUGAGAUGUGGUUAAGUCCCGCAACGAGCGCAACCCUUGUCUUAAUUGCCAUCAUUUAGUUGGGCACUUUAAAGAGACUGCCGGUGUUAAGCCGGAGAAGGUGGGGAUGACGUCAAGUCCUCAUGGCCUUUAUGCCCAGGGCUACACACGUGCUACAAUGGGCGGUACAAAGAGAAGCAACCUCGCGAGGGUGAGCAAAUCUCAAAAAGCCGUUCUCAGUUCGGAUUGAAGUCUGCAACUCGACUUCAUGAAGUCGGAAUCGCUAGUAAUCGCGGAUCAGCAUGCCCGCGGUCGAAUACGUUCCCGGGCCUU
rnacentral:rRNA from 1 species